rnacentral:rRNA from 1 species
UACGUAGGGUGCAAGCGUUAAUCGGAAUUACUGGGCGUAAAGCGUGCGCAGGCGGCUAUGCAAGACAGGUGUGAAAUCCCCGGGCUUAACCUGGGAACUGCGCUUGUAACUAGCAGGCUAGAGUGUGGCAGAGGGGGGUGGAAUUCCAGGUGUAGCAGUGAAAUGCGUAGAUAUCUGGAGGAACACCGAUGGCGAAGGCAGCCCCCUGGGCUAACACUGACGCUCAUGCACGAAAGCGUGGGGAGCAAACAGG